UACGUAGGGUGCAAGCGUUGUCCGGAAUUAUUGGGCGUAAAGAGCUCGUAGGCGGUUUGUCGCGUCUGCUGUGAAAACCCGCGGCUCAACCGUGUGGCGGGCAGUUGAUACGGGCAGGCUAGAGUUCGGUAGGGGAGACUGGAAUUCCUGGUGUAGCGGUGAAAUGCGCAGAUAUCAGGAAGAACACCCGUGGCGAAGGCGGUUCUCUGGGACGGUACUGACGCUGAGACGCGAAAGCGUGGGGAGCGAACAGG
rnacentral:rRNA from 1 species